rnacentral:rRNA from 1 species
GACGAACGCUGGCGGCGUGCUUAACACAUGCAAGUCGAACGCUGAAGACCUGGCUUUUGUUGGGUUGGAUGAGUGGCGAACGGGUGAGUAACACGUGAGUAACCUGCCCUCUUCUUUGGGAUAACGCCCGGAAACGGGUGCUAAUACUGGAUAUUCACUGGCCUUCGCAUGGGGGUUGGUGGAAAGGUUUGUUCUGGUGGGGGAUGGGCUCGCGGCCUAUCAGCUUGUUGGUGGGGUGAUGGCCUACCAAGGCUUUGACGGGUAGCCGGCCUGAGAGGGUGACCGGUCACAUUGGGACUGAGAUACGGCCCAGACUCCUACGGGAGGCAGCAGUGGGGAAUAUUGCACAAUGGGCGAAAGCCUGAUGCAGCGACGCCGCGUGAGGGAUGGAGGCCUUCGGGUUGUAAACCUCUUUCGCUCAUGGUCAAGCCGCAACUGUGGGUUGUGGUGAGGGUAGUGGGGAAAGAAGCGCCGGCUAACUACGU